UACAGAGGGUGCGAGCGUUGCUCGGAAUUAUUGGGCGUAAAGGGCGCGUAGGCGGUGCGGUAAGUCACCUGUGAAAUCUCCUGGCUCAACUGGGAGCUUGCAGGCGAAACUGCCGUGCUGGAGUGUGGGAGAGGUGCGUGGAAUUCCUGGUGUAGCGGUGAAAUGCGCAGAUAUCAGGAGGAACACCGGUGGCGAAGGCGGGUCUCUGGGCCGAUACUGACGCUGAGGAGCGAAAGCGUGGGGAGCGAACAGG
rnacentral:rRNA from 1 species